AUGGCCUUCAUGUCUGAUGAGCCCUCCAACAACAUAAACUCUCUGUACAUAGUGAAAAUGUGUUUAGUAGGAUCAGUGUUGCGCAGACAUCAGUUCAAAACUAGAGGUCUGGAGAUAGGGAACAUACUGACCUCUAUGACAGAGCUUGCAUCCCUAUCAGAGAGUGAAAUGUUGGCCAAAUUUGUGAGAGGCCCACUGGUAAGAAGAGUGAUCUUGUCACCUGGAUCAAGUUGCUUCCUGACACACUGCCACACUUCAAAAGCCGAUGGCUGCCGAUGUUCCGGAUCAUCUGAGCUUUCAGGGGUGUACCUGUGUCAAUAUUCCGUGCCAUUGUCACAUUUUUGUUCAAAUGAAGUGAAAGAGGAUUUUUUUUUUGUUUACCUUCUAGGGCUUAUUGGCAAUAACCGAGCCAGUCCAUACAAUGUAUCAGAGUCGAUAAAUCCACCACUGCCCAAGGGAAUAGCAUAG
rnacentral:rRNA from 1 species